UUACGGCCAUCUCACGUUGAUCACCAAUUCCUGUACGAUCACUAAAGUUAAGCAACGUUGUGCCUAGUUAGUACCUAGAUUGGUGACCCGCUUUGAAAUACCAGGUGCUGUAAG